GGAAUCUUCCACAAUGGACGCAAGUCUGAUGGAGCAACGCCGCGUGAGUGAAGAAGGCUUUCGGGUCGUAAAACUCUGUUAUUGAAGAAGAACGUGCGUGACAGUAACUGGUCAUGCAGUGACGGUAUUCAAUCAGAAAGUCACGGCUAACUACGUGCCAGCAGCCGCGGUAAUACGUAGGUGGCAAGCGUUAUCCGGAUUUAUUGGGCGUAAAGCGAGCGCAGGCGGUUUGAUAAGUCUGAUGUGAAAGCCUUUGGCUUAACCAAAGAAGUGCAUCGGAAACUGUCAGACUUGAGUGCAGAAGAGGACAGUGGAACUCCAUGUGUAGCGGUGGAAUGCGUAGAUAUAUGGAAGAACACCAGUGGCGAAGGCGGCUGUCUGGUCUGCAACUGACGCUGAGGCUCGAAAGCAUGGGUAGCGAACA
rnacentral:rRNA from 1 species